rnacentral:rRNA from 1 species
GCAUAACGCGAAGAACCUUACCAGGCCUUGACAUGCAGAGAACUUUCCAGAGAUGGAUUGGUGCCUUCGGGAACUCUGACACAGGUGCUGCAUGGCUGUCGUCAGCUCGUGUCGUGAGAUGUUGGGUUAAGUCCCGUAACGAGCGCAACCCUUGUCCUUAGUUACCAGCACGUUAUGGUGGGCACUCUAAGGAGACUGCCGGUGACAAACCGGAGGAAGGUGGGGAUGACGUCAAGUCGUCAUGGCCCUUACGGCCAGGGCUACACACGUGCUACAAUGGUCGGUACAAAGGGUUGCCAAGCCGCGAGGUGGAGCUAAUCCCAUAAAACCGAUCGUAGUCCGGAUCGCAGUCUGCAACUCGACUGCGUGAAGUCGGAAUCGCUAGUAAUCGUGAAUCAGAAUGUCACGGUGAAUACGUUCCCGGGUCUUGUACACACCG